rnacentral:sRNA from 2 species
CCCGCAGCGCAUCUUCCACCCUUAUUCCUCUCCCGUACAACGUCCAUGUCCUAUAUGGCAGUAGUAUCUAUGAAGCGCAGGGAAUGAGCUCUUCCACCAAAUUCGGGCGGGACGAUCAGGAGACCGUUUUAUACUGGUUUUGGUCGCGUGCUAAAAGUUCAUAACUGGCAGGGCAACGUCCGUCGUUGGGAAGUUCAAACUGCGUUGUGGCUAGGAGCUAAAAAAGCAUACCCAUCUCGAGUUUAUUUAUUUUCUUGGUAAGAUUAGAGAGCUUUUCGUCUUCUGCUCCACUGGUUUUUAGAGUUCCAGUAGUGGGGUUACGCUCAUUAUUGAGUCCGUGGUUGUGGUUGCGGUUUCGGGGCUAACUUCAUGCUUUUUUUUUUUUCCAAUAUGCAGUCUGUCUGUCUCAUGUAACAUGGAGUUGGUGAGAAUGAAUGGUUGGAGACGUAAAGUUGGAUCAAUGGCUCAGCGCGAUGUUUUUGAGCCAACGAUAUGGUCAAAAAGGAGUGGGGCCCAGGUUGAGGGGGUAUGUUUGGGACGGAGUUACAUGUAAAUAAAAUGCAAAGUGCUAGUUAGCUACACAGUUGCUAUCCGGUUGAUGUUAUUUACCACUGCUGCACUCCUCGCAAAGUUCGAGCUGAGUUGAUGCAGUUUUGUCGAAGGGAGGAUGACACCUUGAGAGUUGCAGGUCAAUAAGUAUAACUAAUCUAUACAGUAGAUAUCGCGCGGCCGGAAGAGGGCUUUACUUCGCGCACAAGAUUUUAUCACUUGCCCGAGGC